rnacentral:rRNA from 1 species
CACGUAGGGCGCAAGCGUUGUCCGGAAUUAUUGGGCGUAAAGGGCGCGUAGGCGGUGCGGUAAGUCACCUGUGAAAUCUCCUGGCUCAACUGGGAGCUUGCAGGCGAAACUGCCGUGCUGGAGUGUGGGAGAGGUGCGUGGAAUUCCUGGCGUAGCGGUGAAAUGCGUAGAUAUCAGGAGGAACACCUGUGGCGAAAGCGGCGCACUGGACCACAACUGACGCUGAGGCGCGAAAGCUAGGGGAGCAAACAGG